rnacentral:rRNA from 1 species
GACGAACGCUGGCGGCGUGCUUAACACAUGCAAGUCGAACGGAAAGGCCCUGCUUUUGUGGGGUGCUCGAGUGGCGAACGGGUGAGUAACACGUGAGUAACCUGCCCUUGACUUUGGGAUAACUUCAGGAAACUGGGGCUAAUACCGGAUAGGAGCUCCUGCUGCAUGGUGGGGGUUGGAAAGUUUCGGCGGUUGGGGAUGGACUCGCGGCUUAUCAGCUUGUUGGUGGGGUAGUGGCUUACCAAGGCUGUGACGGGUAGCCGGCCUGAGAGGGUGACCGGCCACAUUGGGACUGAGAUACGGACCAGACUCCUACGGGAGGCAGCAGUGGGGAAUAGUGCACAAUGGGCGGAAGCCGGAUGCAGCAACGCCGCGUGCGGGAUGACGGCCUUCGGGUUGUAAACCGCUUUCGCCUAUGACGAAGCGUGAGUGACGGUAAUGGGUAAAGAAGCACCGGCUAACUACGUG